CAAAAGUGAGGGUAUUUAUGUCUUUUUAAAAUGUUUUUUUCUUCUGUUCUGCUUCUCGAUCAUUCUCGGCUCUAUUUUUCUCCAUCCAUUUCUCAAAUAGUACAUCAUUCUUUAAAAUACCCAUCCCGAGUUUAUCAGUACAAAUUUUAGCCUUUGAUAGAGAUUUUCCACAUGUUAACCGAUAAUUCUUCCGAUACAUAUAUCUAGUUUUCAAUUUCAGCCUCGAAAAGAAUCGAAUCUGAAGCUUUCGUUCUCUUAGCCUUAAGUCCUCAAAUUGAAGGGAGUAACUAAAAUUGAGACUUCAUACUCAUUAUUUGAGAUACUCAAGGUCCAUUUAUAUUGGAGUGAGGAAAUCGCGAAUUUGUUAUACUACAACUAAGGUAUGCUCACAUACAUGAUGAUUCCCAUAAAAAAAAAAUUUGUUUGCCAUGGUAAUUCAAUUUCAUUGUUCCGUUAUGGAUUUGUUAUAUGUUGAAUUGAAGAAAUUGCGGGUUUGUUAUACAACAAGUAGUCUUUUUAACCUGCAUAGUUGUCCUUUUUUACUUUCAUGCUCUUAACUGAUUUUAAGAUGUCCUCUUUUUUUAAGGUACUACAAACAUGAGUUACGUCUUAACUUACCGAUCCUAAUUAAAUUUCUAAGAUACCUCAAAUUAAGGGAGUUAAUAAAAAUUCAAUCUUGCAAGUCCUACUAUUUUUAUUUGAUGUUUAAAGAAAUGCAGGUUGUUGUUUCAUAUGUAUAUAAUAUAAUAUUAUUAGGCUAUCAAGUUGAUAAUCAAGAAUUUUAUUUGACACCUCUCUUGAAAAACAUGCUAUAUUGAUGGUUUUGUAUAUUUCUUACUGUGAAUACUAUUGAGAAGGUUUAUAACAGAUACAUGACACGAUGAUUCAUAAGAAAAUCUUCUUGCAUUGACAAUUAUUAUAAUUUUUUUCUUACUAAUAUUCUUUAUUCAUAUGGAUUAGUGAAAGUGGAAAAACAACAUUGAGUACACUUACCCUCUCCAGAUUUCACUUUGUGUCACUAUGCAUGGUAUGUUGUUGCUUAAGUAGUGUUGAUGGAAUUUUUUUUGGAAGAAGCAGGGUCUGUCAGGUUUCCGUUUUAAGUCAUACAAGUUUGUUCUAUAUUCUAUAAUAUUAAGACCAAACUAUCUUGCUUUCUUUUACGAUCUUGAGGUCAAUUACUUAAGCAUAUGUAAAGUAAAAUCAAACAUGUCAUAAUCAAUCACGCGAAAUUGCGUUAAAUAAAGAUUUAGUUUCUCUAUGAUUGUAGUGUUUGGGCUACUUGUAUGCACCUCAAACUGAUUUCAUAAAAUACCUGUUGUAUCCCUUCAACACAAGUUACCAAGUUCCUCUUAUAAUUAUCAAGAUUUAAAAUUAUUUUCUCGAUAACCAAAUAAGCUCUCCAUAUGAUUAGUUUAAAUUUAAAAUAAUGAUCUCUAUGUGAAAUAUAUUGAUAAAAAUGUCUCAUUGAGGUCUAAACCACAAGAAGCUUACGUGCGCCGGAGGCAUGUAUUUGUGAAUUUGAUAUUUUUCAAUUAACCAUAAAGUAAACCACUUUUAUUGAAGAGAAGAAGGGCAAAGGACCUCACAUGUAUGAAUUAGAGACAUUUAAAAUUAAUAUUUCGAAUGAUAUGGUUAUAACUCAAGUUGAAGGUUGGCUGGUGGAUAUUUGAUCUCUGCCUUAUUCAUGGCGAAUUGAGAAUGAAUCAUGUUAUUGUCAAUGGCUUGAUGCAUAUUCAGAGUAAACCUAAAAAUUUCUUAACAACUUGAAUCCACAACUUUUUUGUUGUUCAUUUUGCUAAGUUUAUCAAGAGGGAAGGUGCCUGAAGGCUAAAUUACACUAACUUCUAUAUUUUACUUAUUGGUUUAAAAUUAUAUCUAUGUGUCACAAAAUCACUGAAUGAUAUAAGAACAUGAUAAAAAGAGGAUAAUAACCGAGAGGAUAAAAUUUGCCUCUAAAUUGAAAAAUGAAAUAGAUGAGUAGAGGUUGAUUAAUGUCGAGGGAAGCUUGAGAUCUUGACAUCCGACCUUACCGAGUAAAACUAAUCACAUGUAUGGGAUUUACUUGAAGUAUUUUAGAUUUGUAAGAAAAUAUGCUUUCUUAAUUCCUAUAGUUGCUUUAGCAUUGUUACUUGCAGAAAAUACUUAGAGUCGGUAGUAAAUGAAUUAUGUUUCUAUUUUAAAAAAAAAGUAUUCUUUCAAGUUUCAAUUAUUUGGUGAAUGAUUUUUGUACUAUAUAGUCCUUAAGGACUGUUUGAGUUUCAAAAAAGUUUGAAAAUACUUUUAUAGCAAUUGUUUUUUUUUUCUUUUUGUUGUUUAUUCUGUACUUUAAACUUAAAAGAAAUACAAAGUUCUUGCGAUAGUCUUUAAGAUACAUUAGGGCAUAAAUCUUUUGCUUUCAACCUAAGUUGCUCAUAUUUGAGUGAGGGUGUUUGAUAUCGCUAUGAGUUCAGAGAUCGGAUUCUUCAUGAUUCUUAUUUCAUGAUAUGAGGUUACACAUCCAAGUACUGAUACUUAGAUUAUGAUCUAGAGGUAGAAAUGUGGUGGUUGAAACAACAUUCUUCUAUUUGAAUAAUAGGUAAACUAUAUAGACUUCUAUUUAUUUCAACAUGACAUUUUUUCUAUAUACAUUCUCACAAACAUAGUAAUUUCCUGUCUUGAUGACUUUAUCUGAGAGGUCGUGACGUUUUCGUGAAGACCACUAAUAAAGGAGGUUGAUAAUGACUAGCGGGGCUAUCCCUUGAAGUAAAUACAUUACAUGGUAGUACCUAGCAAGCAAUUGAUAAGAUUUUGAUCAAAUGCUCGCUUAAUCUAAAGUUUGUCUGAGCAUGGGACAUGUCAUUAUUGAUGACCACCACAAGAGGUAAAUUUUCUUACUUGAUUAUCUUAAAACAUCAUUUGAAACUAGUAGGUACUCUUCGAAAGAGUUUUUCUUAUUCUUCUUUGGAUAACUUCUUCUUCUAUUUGUCUGGUUCUCUGGAUGCUUGCAUGAAGGACCAAUGUUUUGUGAAUUUUAUCAUCAUGCCAACAAAAAGAAACUAAGAAAUAUAGCGUUGAUCAACAUUUGACGUACUAGAUAAUUUGAUAGUUUGGAGCAUGUGAUCAUUUUGUUAUUUUAAGUCCUCAUCUAUUGGUGAUACAUUCGACGAUCCAAUCUUUUUUCUUGCACUAUAAUUCUACCAAAUAUAAGCUAUGGAUUGUAGUAGAAAGGUUUUCUUUCGACAGAACCUUGACUAAAUAAAAAAAAUAAAAAAAUCAAAGCAGUUUGAAAAGGAAAUGCUAUAUUAACUAAAUUUUUUGUCUUUUACUACUUCAUGACCUAAGAUUUUCGCAACUGCUAAGAUGCCAGUAUAAUCUUUUUUGGCUACGGGUAUGUGAAUUUUGGGCAAAUUUAUUGAAAAAGGAAGACAGUUCAGUGAAUGCUCAUUAUGAAUUGUGAUAGUAAAAUGUCUGGUAGUGAAAAAUUUGAGUUCUUGAAGAGUGUACUUUAUUUUGAUUGAAAAUCUUUUUAUUUGAUCGUGAAGGCACUUAGCUGUGGAGAUGAACAUGACAAUUUUGUUUGGUCACAAGUUCUAACAGUUUCAAAUUUUUAAUUAGACCACCUACAUUUGAUGAUAACGAUGAUCAUUUAACAUGUAAUGUUGUCUAUGGUGAAAUUAUUGAAAAGGCUUUCUCUUGAACUUAUGCUAUAAUUUGCACUGGGUAAAUCUAAUAUACAUUUUGCAUUAGUUUGUUAUUACUCUAUGUGGAUGAAUUUACCUCAUAAACAUACUGAUAAUCUUGAGUUUAUACUAACUAUUUUCAAUAAGCUGGAAUAUUUCAUGUUACACAAUUCACUUAGUCUUGCUAUAGAUAAUGAGAAUAAUGCUUAUUCAGUUUUUCAAUUGAACAAUCUUCUACUUUGAAAAAAGUGAGAUGGGGUUCUGAUUAAUAUAAUUGAGGAGUAUGAAUUUAAUGUAUUGAUGUAUUUUAAGAGAAACUUAUGUAUAUCUGUUUGGGCAAUAGGACCAAUAUUUUUUCAAGAAAAUAAUACUUAUACGAAAGAACCAGGAAUUUCAUUAGAAAAAUGUCUACCAAAGAUUCAUUGUAGUGUAGAGACAGUAAGAAAAUGUCAGCUUGUACAUUAUGCCUACGAUUACAAGGAAGUAGAUCAACGAGGCUUCUAGGUGAGUGUUUUACCUCCGUUAAGCUUUUUAUGUUUACUCCGAAAAUAAUAUGUGCUUGAGUAAUAUAUGUGUUUUAUGGAUAAUAACUAUUGAUAAGAGUAAACAAAUAUAUUGCAUCUUGUAGCCAAAUGAUACAGAUUCAUAGUUUUGAGUUUUGAUUAUAAGCCGGAGAGGAAAGAGCUAGAAGAAAGAACUAGAAAAGCUAAAGUGAAAGCAAGUCAUUCAGAAGGUCUCACAUCGGUCAUAAAGCGCUCUCUCUAGCAAUUUCUCGUGUAGCUCUCUCUACUUGAUCUCGAAUUCUUCCAGGGAGCAACUUCUAUUGAGCAUAAGAUAAAUUCUGAUGACGUAUUUAUUGUGGCAUUUGUACUUCGAAAUUUUUUAUAUACUUGCAAAAAUGAUUUAACUAUAUUAUCAUACCUUAUUCUCUUUUUAUUGUACAACUAAAAUAUUUGUUAUGAUAAUCAAACUACAAAAAAGAA